AUACUUACCUGGCAGGGGAGACACCAUGAUCACGAAGGUGGUUUUCCCAGGGCGAGGCUCACCCAUUGCACUCCGGGUGUGCUGACCCCUGCGAUUUCCCCAAAUGUGGGAAACUCGACUGCAUAAUUUGUGGUAGUGGGGGACUGCGUUCGCGCUCUCCCCUG
rnacentral:snRNA from 1 species